rnacentral:rRNA from 1 species
AUACGAAGGGUGCAAGCGUUACUCGGAAUUACUGGGCGUAAAGCGUGCGUAGGUGGUGGUUUAAGUCUGCCGUGAAAGCCCCGGACUCAACCUGGGAAUGGCGGUGGAUACUGGCGGACUAGAGUGCGGUAGAGGGUGGUGGAAUUCCCGGUGUAGCAGUGAAAUGCGUAGAGAUCGGGAGGAACAUCUGUGGCGAAGGCGGCCACCUGGACCAGCACUGACACUAAGACUCGAAAGCGUGGGGAGC